UUUUAAAUUGAGAGUUUGAUCCUGGCUCAGGACGAACGCUGGCGGCGUGCCUAACACAUGCAAGUCGAGCGAUGAAACUUCCUUCGGGGAGUGGAUUAGCGGCGGACGGGUGAGUAACACGUGGGUAACCUGCCUCAAAGAGGGGGAUAGCCUCCCGAAAGGGAGAUUAAUACCGCAUAACAUUAUUUUAUGGCAUCAUAGAAUAAUCAAAGGAGUAAUCCGCUUUGAGAUGGACCCGCGGCGCAUUAGCUAGUUGGUGAGGUAAGGGCUCACCAAGGCGACGAUGCGUAGCCGACCUGAGAGGGUGAUCGGCCACAUUGGAACUGAGACACGGUCCAGACUCCUACGGGAGGCAGCAGUGGGGAAUAUUGCGCAAUGGGGGAAACCCU
rnacentral:rRNA from 1 species